GAUGAACGCUGGCGGCGUGCCUAAUACAUGCAAGUCGAGCGAACAGACCAGGAGCUUGCUCCUCUGACUUUAGCGGCGGACGGGUGAGUAACACGUGGAUAACCUACCUAUAAGACUGGGAUAACUUCGGGAAACCUGAGCUAAUACCGGAUAAUAUAUUGAACCGCAUGGUUCAAUAGUGAAAGACGGUUUUGCUGUCACUUCUAGAUGGAUCCGCGCCGCAUUAGCUAGUUGGUAAGGUAACGGCUUACCAAGGCAACGAUGCGUAGCCGACCUGAGAGGAUGAUCGGCCACACUGGAACUGAGACACGGUCCAGACUCCUACGGGAGGCAGCAGUAGGGAAUAUUGCGCAAUGGGCGAAAGACUGACGGAGCAACGCCGCGUGAGUGAUGAAGGUCUUCGGAUCGUAAAACUCUGUUAUUAGGGAAGAACAAAUGUGUAAGUAACUAUGCACGUCUUGACGGUACCUAAUCAGAAAGCAACGGCUAACUACGUG
rnacentral:rRNA from 1 species